AUCAUCCUGUGCAUGGGAACAAGAGUGCCC
rnacentral:piRNA from 1 species